AUUGCAUUUGCGUCAAUUGUGGUGCAGGCAUAACAUCGGAUAUCUUGACUUUUAACAACUGAAAUCAAAAUUUUUUACUAGAAGCUCUGCAAGCUGAUUUACCAGUUAUUAAACUAAAUACCGAAGCCAUAAAAAUUGCUGACGACAU
ensembl:ncRNA F31F6.15 ncRNA